UCCAGCCAGGCCCUUUGUAG
rnacentral:piRNA from 1 species